rnacentral:rRNA from 1 species
GCUCCAAUAGCGUAUAUUUAAGUUGUUGCAGUUAAAAAGCUCGUAGUUGGAUCUUGGGUCGUAAGGGUCGGUCCGCCUACUCGGUGUGCACCUGCCCUUCCGUCCCUUUUGUCGGCGGCGUGCUCCUGGCCUUAAUUGGCUGGGUCGCGGUUCCGGCGCUGUUACUUUGAAAAAAUUAGAGUGCUCAAAGCAAGCUUAUGCUCUGAAUACAUUAGCAUGGAAUAACGUGAUAGGAGUCUGGUCCUAUUGUGUUGGCCUUCGGGACCGGAGUAAUGAUUAAUAGGGACUGUCGGGGGCAUUCGUAUUUCAUUGUCAGAGGUGAAAUUCUUGGAUUUAUGAAAGACGGUCCACUGCGAAAGCAUUUGCCAAGGAUGUUUUCAUUAAUCAAGAACGAAAGUUGGGGGCUCGAAGACGAUCAGAUACCGUCCUAGUCUCAACCAUAAACGAUGCCGACCAGGGAUCGGCGGAUGUUGCUCUAAGGACUCCGCCAGCACCUUCUGAGAAAUCAGAGUGUUUGGGUUCCGGGGGAAGUAUGGUUGCAAAGCUGAAACUUAAAGGAAUUGACG